rnacentral:lncRNA from 1 species
CUAUCUCAGUGCCAGUCCUUUCUUCAGAAAAAAAGUAUCCUACAUAGCAUAGUUUCAACAUUUUGUUAUAACCUAAAACGAUUAUUUAACACACUACUUCAGAGAAUGAAUCCAGCAUUACUUUCUAACACAUGUAAUAUUCAUUUGAAUAUUUGCGGAAAGCCAAUAAUAAAAUACGCAUUUUUCACACAAGCGGGCAGAGCCCAUGGAAAGGGACAUUUCGGGUUAAAGAGUCAGGGAGGGCACCUGAGGCGUUCCCCUGAGGGCGGUGAGGUGAAUUGCGUUGCCUUGGCCGUGCCGCUCGGUAGGGGGCGCACUCCCCGCCCCUCCCUCCCCGGGGCUCCCUUAUCACCCCCAGCGGGCGAUGUUGCCGCGCCACCGCCUCCACCUCCUGCUCUUCCUCCGCACCCUGCACGGCUCUGCCUUUGGCAUGGGCGACUGGGCCUCCCGCCUGCCGCAGGCGAGCGAAGCGCUGCCCGGCAGGAGCCAGCGCAUGGCGGUGCCAGUGGGACAGUGCCAGCCCUAAACCCACCGGGCUCGCGGAUCCGCUGCUUUGAUUUUCACCUGGAUUCAGCUGGAACUCUCCAUUCCUGGGGCUAA